CCUGAGAAACCCAAAAGAUCGAAUGGGGAGANUCAUCGUCAGCUCAUUUUGUAUAUGUAUAAGUUAUGAUGCGGGUUACUACUUGUAGUAUUGCCUGCACAUUCUUGUAUAUUUAGUUGCAAGAUGUUGUCGGCGUGCACUUCUCCCCUAGUAGGACGUCGCGACCUGUUGGGUGUCGGUCUACGGCCCAAGUGAUAGCCUUUAAUGUAAUUUAAAAAGCAUUGAAGAUCCUUGGUGUUUUCUGACCGGCUACUUGGCAGUAUUCGUACGGUAUUUAGCCGCUAAAUUUAUUAAGCGUCCGUAUCCGUCACAAGCGA
rnacentral:rRNA from 1 species